rnacentral:rRNA from 1 species
AGUGAACGCUGGCGGUAGGCCUAACACAUGCGAGUCGAACGGCAGCACAGUAAGAGCUUGCUCUUACGGGUGGCGAGUGGCGGACGGGUGAGGAAUACAUCGGAAUCUACUUUUUCGUGGGGGAUAACGUAGGGAAACUUACGCUAAUUCCGCAUACGACCUACGGGUGAAAGCAGGGGAUCUUCGGACCUUGCGCGAUUGAAUGAGCCGAUGUCGGAUUAGCUAGUUGGCGGGGUAAAGGCCCACCAAGGCGACGAUCCGUAGCUGGUCUGAGAGGAUGAUCAGCCACACUGGAACUGAGACACGGUCCAGACUCCUACGGGAGGCAGCAGUGGGGAAUAUUGGACAAUGGGCGCAAGCCUGAUCCAGCCAUACCGCGUGGGUGAAGAAGGCCUUCGGGUUGUAAAGCCCUUUUGUUGGGAAAGAAAAGCAGCAGGUUAAUACCCCGCUGUUCUGACGGUACCCAAAGAAUAAGCACCGGCUAACUUCGUG